rnacentral:lncRNA from 1 species
CACCAGUGUACUCUCCUACCUGGAUAGUGCCAAGGGAUGCUAUUUACGUCUCCUCACUAUGCUGAAAGCCAUCUUAAAUAAGCAUACCAAGUAAGACCAGUAUGCUUACUAUGGCCUGCAGCUUCACAACAGAUUUUUUGGCUGUUCAUUUCCACUCAGAUGGCUGCUCCUUUGCAGACGGAUGCAAAUUCUGAAACUUGAACAGGCAGUACACACGCGGGAUGAGACGGAUUCGUUGCAUGAGCAGUGAGAAAUUAGCAGAAUUUCUCUCAUGCUGUGGUGUGGGAUGCCCUUGGCAAUCCACUUGGCACUCAUUCAGGCGCAGUGUAUGGGGAAAUAAUUGAUCCACAGAGAAUAGGAGUCAAAGCUUAGGUUGCAGUGUGCUGGUUUCAUCCUAACGAGAGGAAACAUGAGACCUGAAUUUCCACGAGGGGAGACUCAGUGAAGCUAGAAUGCAGGCCCCAAAAAUGGUGGACCAGGGGAACCAACAAGCAAGUCAAACGAAGACAGGCUGUCACAGUGUGAAUCACCACCUGUUGUGUGGAACCAGGUACUCUGACAAUAUCCACUGUGACAUGGGAAGGACAGACAUCAUCGAUGGUAUCAUCAGUGUACAGAGAUUACUGCCCUACUAA